AACUGAUACUACCUGCGGGAACCUGCGGAGGGAUCAUUAUUGAAUUUUCCAAAGAAAAAUUUUGUACUUGUUUCUUUCUCUUGAAAGAGAGGAGAACAGUGCAUAUUUUUCCUCAAACAAACGAUCACAACUAAAUUGUGUGAAGGAAAAGGAAAAGGAAAAGGAAAAUUGAUUUGGAUUACCUAGAUUACAAGUGUUUGCCUGAUAAUCAAGAUGAUUUGGAUUGGAGAAAGAAAUACA
rnacentral:misc_RNA from 1 species